rnacentral:tRNA from 1 species
GAGGGUAUAGCUCAGUGGUAGAGUGCAUGCCUAGCAUGCAUGAGGUCCUGGGUUCAAUCCCUAGUACCUCCA